UCUAGGAGUGUGUGUACCCAUCUUCCCUCCCCCUUUCCUUUCCGUGUGGGCUACUGACAGUCUGAUCAUCUCACUGGAUGCAAUCAGAGUAAGCGGCGCCGUCUCCCAGAGACUAGCCGACGCUCUUUGCUGAAGGGAGGUGUAGGAGGGUCGUGGCCAUCCUCGUUAGCCUCUCCUGUGUGAGUACCCUGUGGGGAAAAAUCCUUAGUUUAUGAACCGCUAGCACGAACAGGGCACCCUGCCUGUGUGCGUAAGUGGAAAAUGGGUAGGGGACAGUCUAAACAUUCCAUCUCACCCCCUAAGGGUACCCCAGCAUAUUACAUGUACGUACAUUAUGGUUCAACAACCUGCAGGUAUUUAGAGAAUUGGAAUAUUUACACGUGUGAAAAUCCAUCUAAACAAUGCCCACUAGAAGGUACUUCAAUCUAGAUAAGAUCAUACAUCUAAGAAGAGCGUUUAAUCACCAAAAAGCCCUGACACAGCGUGAGCAAAUUUGUCUAUUGAGGAAAGGAACGGGUUAAUUUAAAAAUCAUCUUGGCCCAAGGAUGGAAGGGGGGGGGGGGGUUGCUCUGCGUUCAGGGUCAGGAAUCGGCGCGGACUGUGCUUGGUGCAGGGAGGGGCUGCUUUUGGCCCCAGCUGGCUGUGAAGGAAAAAAUAUAGACAGAGGCGAAGCAAAGAAAAUACAAGUUACAGAACUGAGAUUACAUUUGCAAAGCUUAACUGUCCAGUAAGAUCCAACAGUGUGCCUUUGUGACCCUGGAGUCGGUGUGGCUUGGUGACACCAAAGAAGCCACAGGUAGCCGACCUGGACUGGAAUCUCUGAAAGAGAUGCCGCAGGAGAUUCCAGGGUGUAAGAGAACAGCCCUCCCAAGAGCAGAAGCGUGUUGGAAAUUCUGGACAAGCUGUAUACAGGAUAAUCUCCUGUCCACCCCUCCCCCUUCUCUGAACAUUAUACACAGAAGUGGCCAGUCUGGACAUACGUGUGUAAGGAAGCGCUACCCAAAGACCCUAGCAGCCCUGCCAGUCCUUGGAACCAGGAGACGGGAUUGAUGUAAAGGUCCACCAACGAAAGACUGCCUUGGCUCCAUGCUGGAAAGGCUCUUAAGUCCUGAUGACUACCAACACCGCUGUGAAGUGCCAAAGACUGACUGCUUGGACCCAAGAUUCUCACUGCAAAAAGACCCCUCCACAUCGGGAGAAUUCUCCUACUGAUGAUUAGCCUAUUUCACCUUCUAGCUCCACUGUGCCUUCUGGACAGUAGGGAAAAAGUACAAGGUGAAGUGCUAGUAACCUCUCCCUUAUCCACUAACAGAUCUAUUGUGCCUUUGAAUUUUUCUAGAAGAAUCAAAACCAUUACAGGGUGAUGUGCUGGUAACCUCUCCCCUAUGGGAUGCUGCACCACGACUGUUUUGGAAGAGAAGAAGGAACACUCGCUCCACUGAAAUUGCCAAAGUCCAGGAAUUCCUGACUAAAAAGGACAUUAAGAACUGACCCUGGUGAAGAAACAAAGAAUUAUACACUGGUGGGAGGACAUUUGUGGGACCCAUGUUUGGGAAUGUGGUAUUAAUUGGAUAUUGGGGUUUAUUCUACAGGCUGUGCCCUGUGUUUUGGAUAAAUCCUUCAGCAUAUAUAGCUCUCUCUAAUUGGAUUUUAAAUAACAAGUACCCAAAGAGUUUGUUCUGCUACUGGAAAUUUUACCCAUAUUGAAACCAUUCCAGUGACUAAUAAUGUAUGUUAUUAAUGGGAAUGUCUUUUGACAGUACCUGAGAAUAGUUAAAUAACAGGUGUAUUAUAGUACUACACCAAGAAAAGAUGGAAUUGAAUAUAACUGAGGCUGGGAAGGCAUUGCAGUGGGAUCUAGUAUAUUUAGGAAUUCGGGAUUUCCUGAAUGACCAGCUGAUGGCCAUUCGGAGUGAUCUUGAGUACCAGACUUGGCCCACUGCCCUUACAGAUGCAUCAGGAAUACCAUCUGAUCUGUGAUCAUGGAGACAUACUUGGACACUUCCUGGGUGGAAGUGUGGCUUCCAAGGGUAGGGUGUGCGCUCUUAUAGGGGAUGAAUGCUGUACUUAUGUCCCAGAAAGCGCACAGGAUAUUAACAAGCACAUCCUGUCAGCCAAACAGGCUUUUGAACAGUGGAAGGCCCAGGAAAGGAAACCUACUAUUUCUGAUUCCCUCCGGGGCUGGUUACUCAAUCUGGGAGAACUAGGGGAAGGCAUUGUUCACUCCUGCUCACUGGUGUGGUGUUGUGUAUUGUUACUCUUCUCUUGCUUGCUUGCUAUAAAGCACUCCAGCUCCCUAGAGCUUAAUCACAUGUUAUCCUUUAAAUGUGAGAACACUCAGCCAAAAGUUUGUUGAGUAUUCUCAAAGGAGGGAGUUGUUGGUGUCACUCUGGCAUAACCCUAGGUAACUCGGGAGGGUGGUAGACCACAAGUGUCAAUGAAGCCCUCCUGUUGUAGGCCUCAAUGAACCAAUGUUCCUCCAUGUUAAACACUUUGUGUAACCUAGUGCAACCUAAUGUACUAAUAGCUGCAAAAAUGUAAUGUCACCAGUUAGUUUUCUGAUUGUAAUAGUCAGUUCCCUGCUGUAACACACUGGAGCUAAAUUGAAGCAAGUUUCAAGGUCGCUUUUAGAUACAGUAUACAUGUCUCAGCAGUGGGAAGGGUGGAGGAAGGGGGAAGACAAAAGAUUGAGUGAGAAAAGAUACUGCAGCUGGAUGGGAAAGAAUGAGGGAGUGAGAGAUCAGCUAGUCAGCAAGAAAAAGUUCUCAGAAAGCAACUGGGAUAUAAAAGGAGGAAGCCGCUUGUGUAGGGGUGCUGGAUCUGAGGCAUGCUAAGUCUCCCAGCACCGCUUUGAGAUCUCAGAUAAACUUUGCUUGCUUCUCCA